CCCUUAGAUGUUCUGGGCGGCCCGCGCACUACAUUGGCACUAGCAAAGAGAUCCUAGAUUGAAUUCUUUGGGGUAUUCUUCUAAAUGGUGUCGUGACUGGGAUAAAUCCUUGUAAUUAUUGGUUUUGAACGAGGAAUUCCUUGUAAUCGCGGUUUACCAGCUCGCGUUGAAUGCGUCCCUGCCCUUUGUACACACCGCCCGUCGCUCCUACCGAUGGAUCGUCCGGUGAAGCUCACGGAGUGACUGUUCACGCAACGGUUUACGAAGUGAAAUGGACCUCACGAUUUAGAGGAAGGAGAAGUCGUAACA
rnacentral:rRNA from 1 species